rnacentral:misc_RNA from 1 species
UUGAUUUUCACUUCUUGGUUUUCUUGGGAGCCUCGGCAGGUUAGGCCACAGGUGGUGCUGCAGGAGCUACAGGUGCGCUUGGACCCUGGGCCAACCGCUCCUCUCUCCUAGCAUGCUUCCUUUCCCUGCUUGCCUUGCUCUUUGCCCUCUUCGCUUCGAACUGAUCAGCCAAGGUCUUCUCUCUUGCUUUCUCAGCUUUGGACUUAUGGAUGCUCUCCAUGAGCACCCUCUUGUUCUUGAAGACAUUACCUUUCACUUUCAUAUACAUAUCAUGAUACAUGUGUUUG